GCUAGCGUAGCUCAGUUGGUAGAGCAUUCCCUUCGUAAGGGAGAGGUCGUGGGUUCGACUCCCUCCGCUAGCUCCG
rnacentral:tRNA from 2 species